UGGGGAAAGGGCUGGGAAACUUACCUUUCAGCAGGUGAUGUCAACUUUCACUUAAAUACGCUCCUUUCACUAGGCUGCCUCGCCCUGCCCUCAGCAGUACCUGAUGUUCCUGAAAGAGAACUGAUCUGGUUCAGCUUCUCUUGAGGGUAAAUCUGCUUCUCAGGCUCAAAGAGGGGCUUUGGAGUGUCCAGAUGGCUUCUUUAAGUUCUACUUCAGGAUGGCUAUCUGAAAGAAAUAAAACCACUACUCGCAUCCCCGUGUUUGCUGUGGCAUUACUCACAAAGGCAUGGAGACCACCUAAGCGUCCACCGUCAGGUGUCGUCUGGGAUGAGGGGCUCGCCAGAAAUUUCAUCAUGUGGUACCCAUCCUCCAACACGGCCCCAGGGACCACUGCCUCCCCAUGUUCAUAGCCUCACAUGGCUCUCUCUCACACUGUCCCAGGGCUGGUCUCAGUGACCAGUAGAAAAUGGUAUAGGUAAUGCUAUGCUACUUUUGAGAUUGUUGUUCAUUCGCUAAGUCGUGUCCGACUCUUUGAGACCCCGUGGACUGUAGUCUAUGGACUUCUCCAGGCCAGAAUACUGGAGUGAGUUAGCUGUUCCCUUUUCCAGGGAAUCUUCCCAACCCAGGUAUCGAACCCAGGCCUCCUACUUAGAAAGUGGAUUCUUUACCAGCUGAGCCAUUAGGGAAACCCUAGUGAGCCAGAACCAUCCAGUUAAGCUGCAGCUGGCUUCCAGACCUGCAGGAACUAUGUGAAAAAGCACAUAUUUGUUGCUUUAAGCCACUACCACUGAGCACCGUCCCCUUCUGGGCCAAAUCUAACUCUGUACUCCAGCCUUCAGCUUAGCCUGUGCUUUGUCCAGGCUCAGCAGAACCAGGGCACCUGAUGGCAACGCUCUUCUUCCCAGAACCAAAUGAGUGACAGCUUUUUCCAUUUCCAGAUUGUGAGAACUCCUCUCAGAGAUUGAAUUGGCCUUGGCCACUGCUCUGGGUUUGCCAGAGACCCCUCCCCCCCGGCUGUGGGUACAUUAAACAGUGCCAUUGAAUAUCAUGUAAGCCCAGGUCUGCAGCCUGCUGAUCGGAUGUAAACUGCCGCCUUCCCUGUGGUUUGUGAAAGCCACCAGCCAGAAAAACAUCUGCAAAGAAUGCCGCCCCGCACCCCCCCGCCCCCCGCCUCACCACAGUGGACCAAGAGAUGAGAUGCUCACCCUGAGAUCUUCCAGGGGCUUUUGCAGUGGAGAGAAUGGUUUGAGUUGGGAAUCAUGAAGCUGCCCACAGACAUGAUGGUGAAAUCUCACCAUUGGCAAAACACCUAUCACACCCACGGUUUUCUCUUGGUCAAAACUGGGAGGCAAUGAUAUUCUUAUGAACUGAGACAUUGCAGACACUGAGGGCAAACACUGUCAAACUGAGGACUGGUCCGACGUUGGGAAGAUGGUAAAGAACCGGGUUGGGAAACCCUAGUGUCCCACAGGGGAGGUACAGAAGCAGUGGUCUAAUAUCUCAGACUCUGAGUGCUUCUGGAAUUUCCCUGUCUGAGUAAGCGGCAGGACUGCCCACUCAGUUUUCUGAAACCACAGGGGAGAAUUGUUCUGGAGCAUUCACACAUCUCCAUCCCUCUUCCUGUCUUAUCUAGCACCUCCUAUUUUCCCAACUCUUCUCCUGCCCUCUGUUCC